CAGAGGAGAGAGUGGUGGUCAGGUGGCAGGGUCACACUCCUACAGCCCAUGCUCCCUGAAGCUGAGCAACCAUCAUCACUGAGGGUAGGGGAGACAGCUCCACAGAUAAAGCAACCACCGCACCAACAGUGAGGACCCAAGUUCAAAUCCAGAGAACCCAUGCAAAAAUCCACCUGAACCUCAGGAUGAUGCUGGUGACGCCGACAUGCCGGAGAAGCUGGGAUGUGUCUGAUUCAAGUGAAAGCAUUAAAGGCCAUCAUUCAAUAAGGAGCUGGAGAACACCCUGUCAUCCUGACUCUCUGAGCCUGGCUCAUGGUUUUCUGUGACCCAGCUCUACCACAUGCCGCCAGUCAAUGGUCCAAGAGAAAGCCUGAAGUCUCCCCAGGACCAGCCUCUAAUCCACUCUGCGUUUGACCUUGAACUUGACAGAGUGCCCAAGUGGAGUGGCUGGAUGCAGAUUUCAGUGGCCAGUCUCCUACCGUCUCCAGGGACUCCAAGAGGCAGGCACAGGCUGCAGUGUGCUGGGGUCUGGACUGGCGCCAGGUGGAUCUGCUGGGGACUCGCCCUUUGUUUACAGGGGA